UUUCACUAUGCACACACUUCAUUCUUCUUCCUUCCCCUCACAAAAAUAAAUAAACCAAUUUUUAUUUCUUUCUCAAAAGACACAAAUACACCUACACGUUUUUCAUCUCCACAUAUUUUUCUUUCUCUCUCAAACACACAUUUUUUCACUACACUCACAUAUUCUUCACCACUCAUAUAUUUUCUAUCAUACAUAAAUUUUGUUCAUCUUUUUUUUUCUCUCAAAAAUACACACAUACACUCAAAAUAAAUACAUGGCCGAUGAAUAAAUUUCCGUCGAUUUUUGAGGCCAUCCCAUUACAAAAGACGGACUUUAUUUUCUCAAAUUUAUUAUUUUAUAUCAAGGGUCAAUACAUGACCGAUGACAAUAUUUCUCCAUCAGACUUUUGAAGUCACCCCAUUACAAAAGACGAAUUUUUAUUUUUAUCUAUUUUAUAUCAAAAUAAAUAUUUGGCAUAUGAAGAAACUCCCGUUGAUUUUCGAGGCCUCUUCAAAUAAAAGGGUGGACAUUACGUAUAUAAAUACGUAACAAAAAUAGAUAAAUUCCAGCGAUGAAGAAAUAUUUAUAACAUCACGCCAACCCAAAGGAUAUUACGAUUUGUAUCUUGACAAGGUGAUUUAGGAUGGCUGAUAAACCGAGCAAUCACUUCGUAGCCAUGACGCAUCUAAAACUUAAUCCGAGAUCACUUUAUAACAAAACUCUAUUUUUUAUACAUCUAUAUAUACGUAUGUGUACACAUACUUUUUAUUUAUUUAUUCUUGAUAUUUUUAUCGACUGUUUAUACAUAUUCUUGAUAACAUACUGUAGACGAUAAAUUUUUCUAAGUCAAAAAAAUAAUAAUCGAGACAGAAUAAUCGAAAUAAAAAAAUAUAAUAUUUGAUUUCAAAUGUAGUAAGUGUUACAAUCUCUAUGAUAAUCCUCUGAUUCUACAAAGUAAUAUGAACUUGGACUUAGCUUGAACUUGAUUUGUAUUCAAGGGCUUGAGUAGCUUAAUCUUGAAUCUUCGUCUUCGGACUUGAAUUUGGAUAUCAGUUCGUCACAAACACUUGAAUGAUUGCCACGAACGAUGAAUAAGUAACUUGUUCUUGAACAAGAGUUCCGUCGUUCUUGAUCAUGAACUUGAUCUUGAGCUUGAUUGUUUGAAACUUAUAGCUUGCAGAGAAAUUAUGGUUUUUGAUCCACAAUUUCUCUUCUUGUUUUUUGUUCCUCAAAAUCUCUUUUUUUGUGAGUUGUGAGGAUCCCUAUUUAUAGUUGGAGGGGUAAGGCAAUUGUGUGAUUUGAUUGAUUGAUUUGAAAUUGACCAAUUACAUUCUUUUGGUGAAAAACUUUAAUUUGAUUGGUUAGAACAUGUCAUCUGCACAUAUGGCAUGAUUUUAGUAGCUUAUUUCAUUUAACUUGUAUUGCCACAUAAUAUCGACACAUGUCAUGCUUUUAGCGGCUCCUUUAAUUUGGAUUGCCACAUAACAUUAACACAUGUCAUGCUUUUAGUGGCUCAUUUCAUUUAACAUGGAUUGACACAUAAUAUUGUCACAUGCCAUGUCUUUAGUGGCUCAUUUCAUUUAACUUGGAUUGCCACAUAAUAUUGACAUAUGUCAUGCUUUCAGUGAGUUAUUCCAUUUAACAUGGAUUACCACCUCAUAUGACAAGAGACAUGGGUUAGGACUUUUAAGCUGGACUAGCACCCAUUUAGGCUUUGGGUUAAUAAAUAUGGGUUUAUCAUUUCAAUUGAAUUAGCCCAAUGAAUUUGAGAUUAGAUGAUUAACCCAAUCAUAUUAGUCACAUUAUUUGGACUAUUUUCUUGAAUUUAAUAUAGUCCAAAUAAAUAUAUGAAUUUAAAUUUAAUAAAAUCUCAAUACUCACAAAUGCCCCCUACUUCAAGACUUGUCAAAUUCAAUUUUUUUAUAAAAAUUGAUGGACUAGACUUGAAGUACAGUUAAGACAAUAAUAUUUUUUUUAUUGUCUUGCACGUAGUAAAUACUUAUUUUUUUGCUUCAAGUAGUCACAAGAUUUUGUAAGGAUAUAUUUUUUUUGAACUCCGUGUCCGAUCAAAAUAUAUCACAUAAAAUAAAUUGAAGGAAGUAAAUAAAUAUCCAUGUUGAAAAUUUUCGUGUGCAAAAUUUCACUAAUAGUGAAAUGAUAAUUUAUUACUUGUAAAGUGGGGUUCACAUUUUAGGACCGUUAUCUUUAAAGUUCUUGAUAAACUUUAUAAGAUUUUUGAUAGAAAAACUUAUCUCAAAAAUAUUUGACUUAUCAUUAUUAUUUUUACGUUGGACUAAGAUACUACUCCUAUUUAUUGUAACCCUCUCUUUUUUUAAACUAUAAAUAGCAGCUAGUCCUUUUGAGAUUAUUCAAUACUUAUAUGGAUGGAAAAUUUUGCUAAUCAACGAACCACAUCUGUGAGUUUCUUGAAUGUCUUUUAUAUAUAAUAUUAUAUAAUAUAACAGUGUGUAGCAAUGUCAUGGCAUCAAUACAGAAUUUCUUUAUGUGCAAAAUGAAAAAGACUUCCUUUUUUUUUUGUUAGUCAAACAUUGCUACAUAUUUCUUUAUGUGCAAAAUAUGUACAUUUAGCAUUUCAUCCAAAAAUGAAAUGGCGUCACUUUUCGUACUGAAGCCACUUUAUUUAACUUUUUAAGGAAAAGUUUUUUAGCAGCCUUCGUUUUUUUUUCUUUUUCUUGUGUGUAUUCGUCUGUUGUCCUCCUUUGUAGGCUACCGAGAAUAAUAUUAUAUUACAGAUGUUAUAGCUUGGAAAGAUUUAUCAUAGCACAAUCUACUGAUCUUAUGGUGUAAAGAUGUGCUUAAUAUCCUUAUUUCAACAUCGUAAAUUUGAGGCGUUAGAAACACUAAAUAUUUGAGUAUAAGGUAUCGUAAGUGUCGCCUUAUUUAAGCCAAAGACUGUAUGGGGGAAUUCUUAUACAUAGUACUAAUUGUUGAUACUGACUACAGUCAUGGCAUGAUCAUGCCUCUUUUACCUUUCAACAUCUCUUACAGAGAAAAUAUAAAAUAAUUUUCUACAUUCUCAUCUUUUCAACAUUCCUUACAAAGUAAAUACAAAACAAUUUUCUACAUAUUCACCUUUAAAUAUUUCUUACAAAGAAAAUAUGAAAUAAUUUUUUAUAUUUUCCCCCCUCCAUUCCUCACAAAGAAUAUACAAAAUAAUUUUCUGCAUAUUCACCUUUCAACAUUCCUCAAAAAAAAACACAAAAUAGUUUUCUGCAUUCUUUCACAUUUCUUACAAAAAAAU
rnacentral:lncRNA from 1 species